ACGUGGUGGACCCUACAUUGACCAACAGUGCUAGGAUCGAGUCCUGACGAAUCACAGCAGCCUGGGUGUGGAGUCAUUUCAGACCUGCAGGGCAUGAAGCUGAGUGCUCAGACUGACCAACCGCUGAUGGACUUCCUGCAGAGAGGACAGUUGGAACACAGUCGGGACACAGCUGGAAAACAGCUGAGACGCAGCUGAAAUACAAGAGGGACACAGCUGGAACACAGCUGGAACACAGACAGUGGGAACACAGGUG